UCUUUUUGUGUAUAAUUUAAGGUCUCGCCUGCCCACUGAAAAUUUAAAUGGCCGCGGUAUUUUGACCGUGCUAAGGUAGCAUAAUCAUUAGUUUUUUUAUUGAGAACUGGAAUGAAGGGUUGGAUGAAAAAAUAACUGUCUCUAUUUAAUUUUAUUAGAAUUUUAUUUUUAAGUUAAAAAGCUUAAAUUAUUUUAAAAGACGAGAAGACCCUAUAGAGUUUAAUAUUUUUAUUUUAACUUAAAUUUAGUAAUUUAAUUUUUAUUAAAAAUAUGAGUAUUUAAUUGGGGUGAUUAAAAAAUUUAAUUAACUUUUUUUCUUCUUUUUUAUAAAUUUAUAUAUAUUUGAUCCAAAUUUAUUGAUUAUAAGAUUAAAUUACCUUAGGGAUAACAGCGUAAUUUUAUUUAAGAGUUCAAAUCUAAAAUAAAGAUUGCGACCUCGAUGUUGGAUUAAAA
rnacentral:rRNA from 1 species